UACGGGGGGGGCAAGCGUUGUUCGGAAUUACUGGGCGUAAAGGGCUCGUAGGUGGCCAACUAAGUCAGACGUGAAAUCCCCAGGCUCAACCUGGGAACUGCGUCUGAUACUGGAUGGCUUGAAUUCGGGAGAGGGAUGCAGAAUUCCAGGUGCAGCGGUGAAAUGCGUAGAUAUCUGGAGGAAUACCGGUGGCGAAGGCGGCAUCCUGGACCGAUAUUGACACUGAUGAGCGAAAGCCAGGGGAGCAAACGGG
rnacentral:rRNA from 1 species